GCUGGCGGCAGGCCUAACACAUGCAAGUCGAACGGUAACAGGAAGAAGCUUGCUUCUUUGCUGACGAGUGGCGGACGGGUGAGUAAUGUCUGGGAAACUGCCUGAUGGAGGGGGAUAACUACUGGAAACGGUAGCUAAUACCGCAUAACGUCGCAAGACCAAAGAGGGGGACCUUCGGGCCUCUUGCCAUCGGAUGUGCCCAGAUGGGAUUAGCUAGUAGGUGGGGUAACGGCUCACCUAGGCGACGAUCCCUAGCUGGUCUGAGAGGAUGACCAGCCACACUGGAACUGAGACACGGUCCAGACUCCUACGGGAGGCAGCAGUGGGGAAUAUUGCACAAUGGGCGCAAGCCUGAUGCAGCCAUGCCGCGUGUAUGAAGAAGGCCUUCGGGUUGUAAAGUACUUUCAGCGGGGAGGAAGGGAGUAAAGUUAAUACCUUUGCUCAUUGACGUUACCCCGCAGAAAGAAGCACCGGCUACAAGCGGUUAAUCCGGAAAUUACUGGGGCGUAAAGCGCACCGCAGGGCGGUUUUGUUAA
rnacentral:rRNA from 1 species